rnacentral:rRNA from 1 species
UACGUAGGGUGCGAGCGUUGUCCGGAAUUAUUGGGCGUAAAGGGCUCGUAGGCGGUCUGUUGCGUCAGGAGUGAAAACUCGGGGCUUAACCCCGAGCCUGCUUCUGAUACGGGCAGACUAGAGGUAUGCAGGGGAGAACGGAAUUCCUGGUGUAGCAGUGAAGUGCGCAGAUAUCAGGAGGAACACCGGUGGCGAAGGCGGUUCUCUGGGCAUUACCUGACGCUGAGGAGCGAAAGUGUGGGGAGCGAACAGG